UCGCUGUUUUUUCCCCUCUCUUCUCCCGAUCUGUGUGUGUUUUUGGUGACAUCUGUGAGCUGAUAGUGUAUUUUUAGUUGUGAAUAAUGGAAUGAAAAAAUGGUGAGGUCUCCGUGUAUAAAGGUGUGUUCUAUUCGAAUCAGAGUGACGAUGAAGGAGUGGUGUUCGUCAAUACGGUCGUUGUGUGCUCUAUCAAGAAGAAAAAGAAAAGAUGGAAUCACUUGUUCCCUUCUCUAUGUGUGAAUGUGGUGUAUGUAUCUAGGUCCCCAUUGUAGUAGUGUGAAUUUGUUGUGUAGAAAAGAAUGGAGAGUGUUGGUUCUCUUGCCCCACUGGAACGGAAAAAAAUGCUUUUUAGUCUUUCGGUUCCCCCCUUUUCAGAAUGGAAGAAGAUCAUUAAACAAAAUGGGU
rnacentral:lncRNA from 1 species